AUUUUAAGUGUGCUUUGUCAGUCAUAAAAUUAAAUGAAACUCGAAAGAGCUCAACCAGUGCAGGGGAGUUUUAGGUAGAACAAUAAAAAUAUUUUCAAAUUUCAGCUUAAGAAAAAAGUAGAUACUAUAUGCACGGUUUUCCUGUCAGGAACAUAUUCCUUAUUCUUAUUACAUUUCUCACCACUAGUAGGCCAUUUCAUCAUGAAAGCUUGUUUAUUACUUUAUCGUAUUUUUAAACAACACAUGUAUUUUCAAGAGAAGCAAGAGAGUCGGCGUGUCUACUGCCAUGUGGCUGGGAUCAGGCCUUUCCCCUCGACUUCGGCGACGUUGGACUCACUCUCCCUUCGUCUAUUUGCGUCACAAAAAUAUCGAAAAAUCCAAUAGUGAGCUCCAAAAGGAUACACGGCCUUUCAAACUCCAUUUCCCCAUAAAGCAUCCUGACACUAAGAAGGUUUCUGAGAUAUUCAAGGGGUUAAAAGUCUUUUUAGGCAUUUUGGCUUAAACCGGCCACUUUGGAGGAAAAUAUGACUCGCUACACAUUUAUGCUUGAGGAAACUGGGAAAAUCAGGUUGCUUUAAGGACGAAAAUCUGUGAAAAAUGUCAGUGAACUAAUUAAUAAGAUGAAAUACAUACCUAUCGGUUCUGCGAAAUCUACACAUUAGCAGAAUAAU